AGGGGGGGGGUCAAAUUUUGUUUUCGCCAAUUUUGCUCAGAAGCAGAGAUAUGAAUCAGUGCCCUUGUGAUGGCCUCGAGACAGGGAGCGGCCUGGUCUCGAGCAUACUAUACUGAGUACUACAGAAUUAUACUAAGAAGAGACUAUACAAGAAGAACCUGUAUACAGUGUAGAGGAGUUGGAGCUGAACAAGACUUGAACAAGACUUAUCAUUAAUAGUCAGGCCACGACUAGACUAGACUGCACUGUACUGGCAGUACCUCUUUGUUCACUAAUCAAUAUCAUUAUGGCUUCAAGAAGCAUACCAAGAGACCAGAACUCACCAACAGGUGGAUCUACAUGUGGUCUACCAAAAAAGAGAGCAAAAAGGCUGACACCCAUUCUUAAACAGCUGAGACCUGAAAGUUCAAGUGAUUCUGAUGAUAGUUUAACACCAACUUCAAAAAAGGAGGAUUCAUGCAGCGAGGAAAUGGAUGUUGUAUGGAGUGGCAAUAUGUAUCAAUAUACUGAUGUGAAACUCAGCCUUCUUACAGUUAAUUUGCGGCAUAUUCGCUGCAGGUGUACUACCAGCCUAGGGACUGUUAAUGAUAUCGAUGCUUUUAUUAAAGAAAACGACUCUGCUAUUGUUGUACCGACUUGUUUAAGAAUGUUGAAGUAUUGUAAGAUUGAGGUUGAAGAGCUAAAAAAAUCAGCAAAAAUAUCUGGGCUGAAACUGAAUGGACAAGUUUUGGUAAUUUGGGAGUGGGAAGUGAUUGUUCACCUUAAUUAUCAUUCAUCUGACAGUAAUGAAGACUUUUCUGAUAACGACAGUGAACCAAGUGACGCAUCUUCUGGUGUAGAAGCUGACCAAGCACAUAAUACUGAUAGACACACAGUCACCUUUAAGGUAAUCGGGUGCACCAAGGAGACGAUUUAUCAGUCAGUGCUGGUUUGGGCAAGAAACAUGAUUGAGGAGCAUAGUGUUGUCGAAGUAAAGCUCCAACGUGAACCCAACAAUCCCUACGAUCCCAAUGCUGUCGCUUUCCUCACUCUAAAGGAUGGCAAAUUCUUAAGAAUUGGUUAUGUAGUAAAAGAAAUUUCUCACGUGGUGUGUAAUGUAUUGGCCCGAGGGGAGAUUUUAAGUGUUUCUUUCAAGUGGAUCAAAUACAUAACAGACUGGAGUCGAUCAGGUCCAGGAUUUUUCGCAGGAGUGAAUGUUACAAAAAAAGGCAAGUGGUCUACUGCUGUCAUGAGGGCUUCUAGUACUAGGUGAUUAUCCACGCGUACAAUGUACAUGAAACUUCAAAUAAUCAUAAUUAGUCUAUAGCUACAGUAUGUAUAUAUUUAGUGGAACUUCCAAUAAUUAUACAUAUACUGUGUUCAUUCUUAUAUAUCUGUUAAAUUACUCAUGAUUAUAAGGACAUUGCAAUUCAUUUCGCUAUUGUUCUUUUGUCAUUAAAUUUGAAACGGAAACA